rnacentral:rRNA from 1 species
UACGGAGGGGGCUAGCGUUGUUCGGAAUUACUGGGCGUAAAGCGCACGUAGGCGGCGAUUUAAGUCAGAGGUGAAAGCCCGGGGCUCAACCCCGGAAUUGCCUUUGAGACUGGAUUGCUAGAAUCUUGGAGAGGCGAGUGGAAUUCCGAGUGUAGAGGUGAAAUUCGUAGAUAUUCGGAAGAACACCAGUGGCGAAGGCGGGUUGCUGGGCCGACACUGACGCUGAUGCGCGAAAGCCAGGGGAGCGAACGGG